rnacentral:rRNA from 1 species
CAAGUCGCGCGAACCUUCGGGUGAGCGGCGAACGGCUGCGUAACACGUUGGAACCUACCCCAGAUUCAGGGAUAACUCGCCGAAAGGCGGGCUAAUACCGGAUGGUCUCGCAAGAGUAAAGCUUCGGCGAUCUGGGAGGGGCCUGCGGCCUAUCAGCUUGUUGGUAAGGUAACGGCUUACCAAGGCUAUGACGGGUAACUGGUCUGAGAGGACGACCAGUCAGAAUGGGACUGAGACACGGCCCAUACUCC